GAUGAACGCUAGCGGCAGGCUUAAUACAUGCAAGUCGAGGGGCAGCAUGAUUGUAGCAAUACAAUUGAUGGCGACCGGCAAACGGGUGCGGAACACGUACACAACCUCCCAAUAAGUGGGGAAUAGCCCAGAGAAAUUUGGAUUAAUACCCCGUAACAUAACGAUGUGGCAUCACAUUGUUAUUAUAGAUUUUUCGCUUAUUGAUGGGUGUGCGGCUGAUUAGAUAGUUGGCGGGGUAACGGCCCACCAAGUCUACGAUCAGUAGCUGAUGUGCGAGCAUGAUCAGCCACACGGGCACUGAGACACGGGCCCGGCUCCUACGGGAGGCAGCAGUAAGGAAUAUUGGACAAUGGACGCAAGUCUGAUCCCGGCAUGCCGCGUGAAGGAUUAAGGUCCUCUGGAUUGUAAACUUCUUUUAUAAGGGACGAAAAAAGGCUUUUCUAAGUCGUCUGACGGUACCUUAUGAAUAAGCACCGGCUAACUCCGUGCCAGCAGCCGCCGUAACAC
rnacentral:rRNA from 1 species